AUACUUACCUGAAAGCGUUACCGGAGCUCAUGAAUUCUCGGUAACUGGUUGCGGAGUCUGCAUUGCACAGCGCGGAUUGUCUGCGGCUGCCAACUAUCUUCGGGUAGUCUGGGCUUUGUAAUUUUUGCUUUCGUCCUCUUUGAGGACUU
rnacentral:snRNA from 21 species